rnacentral:rRNA from 1 species
UGAAGCGGCAACAGCUCAAAUUUGAAAUCUGCCUUCGGGCCGAGUUGUAAUUUGUAGAGGAAGCUUUUGGUGAGGCACCUUCUGAGUCCCCUGGAACGGGGCGCCAUAGAGGGUGAGAGCCCCGUAUAGUCGGAUGCCGAUCCAAUGUAAAGCUCCUUCGACGAGUCGAGUAGUUUGGGAAUGCUGCUCAAAAUGGGAGGUAAAUUUCUUCUAAAGCUAAAUACCGGCCAGAGACCGAUAGCGCACAAGUAGAGUGAUCGAAAGAUGAAAAGCACCUUGAAAAGGGGGUUAAAUAGCACGUGAAAUUGUUGAAAGGGAAGCGUUUGCUGGCCAGACUUGCGCCGUCCCCGAUCAUCCGGUGUUCUCACCGGUGCACUCGGGGCGGCGCAGGCCAGCAUCGGUUUCGGCGGGGGGAUAAAGGCCCUGGGAACUGUAGCUCCUUCGGGAGUGUUAUAGCCCCGGGCGUAAUGCCCUCGCCGGGACCGAGGUUCGCGCAUC